CCGAGUUUACAACUCCCAAACCCAAUGUGAACGUUACCAAACUGUUGCCUCGGCGGGGUCACGCCCCGGGUGCGUAAAAGCCCCGGAACCAGGCGCCCGCCGGAGGAACCAACCAAACUCUUUCUGUAGUCCCCUCGCGGACGUAUUUCUUACAGCUCUGAGCAAAAAUUCAAAAUGAAUCC
rnacentral:misc_RNA from 1 species